AACACUUGUUUUUGCCCCCAUUUUCCAUGAGCUGAACUCAAAGGUCUAAGACUUUUUCUAUGUACACAAAACGCCUAUUUCUCUCAAAUAUUGUUCACAAAUCUGCAUCCUGAUUUGCCACACCUAUGCGGUGAAUGGAUUAUCUCGGCAAAGGAGAAGUGCUCACUAACACAGAUUUAGACAGAUUUGUGAACAAUAUUUGAGAGAAACAGGCCUUUUGUGUACAUAGAAAAAGUCUUAGAUCUUUGAGUUCAGCUCAUUAAAAAUGGGGACAAAAAUCCAAAGUGUU